rnacentral:rRNA from 1 species
GACGAACGCUGGCGGCGUGCUUAACACAUGCAAGUCGAACGAAGUGGCGAACGGGUGAGUAAUACGUGGGUAACCUGCCCUCCUUUUUGGGAUAAGCCUUGGAAACGGGGUCUAAUACCGAAUAAAGGGGGAUGGGCUCGCGGCCUAUCAGAUCGUUGGUGGGGUGAUGGCCUACCAAGGCGGUGACGGGUAGCCGGCCUGAGAGGGUGACCGGCCACAGUGGGACGGAGAGACGGGCCAGAAUCCUACGGGAGGCAGCAGGGGGGGAUAGUGCCCAAUGGACGAACGCCUGAUGCAGCGACGCCGGGUGGGGGAUGAAGGCCUUCGGGUUGUAAACUCCUUUCGACAGGGACGCGGUACCUGUAUAAGAAGCACCGGCUAACUACGUGCCAGCAGCCGCGGUAAUAC